UUGGGGAAUAGCUCCCUUUACUCGGGUGGAUCUGUUGAGCGUGGACUCGAUCGAGGGGCAUAACCAAGUAUCAGGUAAGGGUACAGCGAGGGGCAGACCAACGAGGGGCAAGAAGGAUGCGUGAAGGCCAUAUGGAUGCGUCUGGUUUUCUUUAUGCUUCCGCUGAUAUAUUUUGUUAGGAAAGUUGGUUUUGUGAUU